UUCAGUCAGUCUCACUAUCUGUUUGAUAAAAUGCGUACAGUGUUCUGCAACUUAGACUUUGAUAGACAUUUAUUGCCAAAUAUAACUUGGAAGUCAGUCUAUGGAUUGAAUGGUUGCAGAUGGAAUUGCUUUCCUCUUGUCAUUCCUAUUAUUAUGACCACUGAAUUUUUCUUUGGACUGGAGAGGGGAUUGCUAACUGAUUUUUUGUGUCAGAACCGUUGAAGAGGGGUUCUGUUAUACCAUAAAUUUGUAUCUGCUACUUUUGGUUACACUUCUACAAGAUUAUUAUGGUGGGAUUUAGAAAUAAAUACUUGGUAAUAGAGGUAUUCAUGGAUCCUAUAAUUAGCCAGUCCAGUUCAAUGUAUUAAAGACGCAUUAGUUGUAAAGUUCGGUGAAUGUGAUUUAUCCGCGUCUCUAAUUGGACUAUUACAGGGUAAGACGAUCAUGGAUAAUGUUGUACUUGUACAUAUUCUAACUACUACUUGUUUUGCAGUACCUAGCAAUGAAUGAGAAAACUAACUAUGUACAGAAAGAUGGAGAUAGUGAAGGAUUUGGACAAAUCUAUGUUGAAUCAGAGGAUCAAAGACUUGAUUGGGCAGACGGGUUUGUCUUGGUAGUAGCAUAACCGUUAUUCAUGAGAAUAUAGAAGAAUCUAGAAAGGUUGCUCUUGAGAGGAACAAAAAAAUAAGAGGAAAUGCUCCUGAAAGCCUAGUAUCGGGGUCUGAUGAUAUCACCAUGUUCCUUCGGGAAAUUGCUGCCAGUAAGCACCCCAAAGCCCGCCUGACUGGUCAUCAACAAACAUUUCUUGGCCUACUUAUUGAGAGAAAAUUCAUAAAACCUAUUGGAAGUUGGUCUUUUCUGUAAACUUACACCGUCUUUUUAGCCUUCUCUCACUGUGUUCGUGAUGCAAUCUGCUGGCUCAAGUAAUACAAUUGAAGUAACACAUCAAGAGGUUACUGGUUUGAAGAGGAUGAGGAGAUCAUUCGUGAGGAAGAGGAGAGUUGGCAAGCUGAGAGUGAGCAAAAAUUAAAUGAUUCAGCUGCUGACAAGGAAAAACGCGCCAAGGAAAAACAGAUGUAAGUGUCUAUAGCUUUGUAAUUUACUGACUAAGAUAUGUUCAUCAGAUUGAAAGGGAGAGUUGGCCUUCAACCUCAGGAUGGCCUAUUGUUUGUUGGAUUGACAGGGAUGUACAUAUUGAUGCAUUUGCGUAAUCCCAUGGAAAAGGAGGUUUGGCGCAUCAAUGUAAUUCUCAUGACAAAAAAAGGUUUGGGUGUGCUUAUGAAUAUUCGAUUUUAUGCAUGUUUUGUAGGGGUAUACAUAUUGAUGCACCAAUGUUUUUUUUCAUGAAAAAGUAAAUUUGUAUGUGUGCUGACGAAUAAACGGCUUCAU